AUUGAACGCUGGCGGCAGGCCUAACACAUGCAAGUCGAGCGGAAGAAGGGAGCUUGCUCCUGGAUUCAGCGGCGGACGGGUGAGUAAUGCCUAGGAAACUGCCUGGUCGUGGGGAAUAACGUCCGGACACGGGCGCUAAUACCUCAUACGUCCUGUGGGAGAAAGUGGGGGAUCAUCGUACCUCUCGCUACUAGAUAAGGCUAGCUCGGAUUAGCUAGUUGGUUGGGUAAAGGCCUACCAAGGCGACGAUCCGUAACUGGUCUGAGAGGAUGAUCAGUCACACUGGAACUGAGACACGGUCCAGACUACUACGGGCGGCAGCAGUGGGGAAUAUUGGACAAUGGGCGAAAGCCUGAUCCAGCCAUGCCGCGUGUGUGAAGAAGGUCUUCGGAUUGUAAAGCACGUUAAGUUGGGAGGAAGGGCAGUAAGUUAAUACCUUGCUGUUUUGACGUUACCAACAGAAUAAGCACCGGCUAACUUCGUG
rnacentral:rRNA from 1 species